UCUGUAAUCGCUACAUGGUCGCCAACCGU
rnacentral:sRNA from 1 species